CCCUGUUUUUGAGCCAGCCUGAACCCCGUUGGAUUUGUCUGCCCGCCUGAGUUCUGUUAUUCAGCCUCAGUGAUUUGGACUGCCUCCCUGUGUUUCGGACCCUGCCAGCCUGUAAGUUUCUGAGAUUGCCUACUCUUUGAUUAUUGUGAUUCUGGAUUUGGAUUUGGACCUGGACCUGGACCCGUCUCUGGAUUCUCCCUCGGAAACCUCUGCUGGAUUAAACGGAUAUCCCUCCCGUCGAAGAACCGGACCGGACCUGGACAAAGAACUGGAUAACCCCUUCACGGACCCUGCUGCUUCCUGGAAACUAGACGCUGCUAAACAAGCCGUCCUCGUGCCCCAGGAACCGCCAGAGGCUGUGUGCUGCCGCACAAACCAGGGGGGUCCGCGCCGCCACCAUCUUUAAUAAACUGUUAAAGUUUUA